AACGCUGGCGGCGUGCUUAACACAUGCAAGUCGAACGGAAAGGCCCUGCUUUUGUGGGGUGCUCGAGUGGCGAACGGGUGAGUAACACGUGAGUAACCUGCCCUUGACUUUGGGAUAACUUCAGGAAACUGGGGCUAAUACCGGAUAGGGGCUCCUGCUGCAUGGUGGGGGUUGGAAAGUUUCGGCGGUUGGGGAUGGGCUCGCGGCUUAUCAGCUUGUUGGUGGGGUAGUGGCUUACCAAGGCUUUGACGGGUAGCCGGCCUGAGAGGGUGACCGGCCACAUUGGGACUGAGAUACGGCCCAGACUCCUACGGGAGGCAGCAGUGGGGAAUAUUGCACAAUGGGCGGAAGCCUGAUGCAGCAACGCCGCGUGCGGGAUGACGGCCUUCGGGUUGUAAACCGCUUUCGCCUGUGACGAAGCGUGAGUGACGGUAAUGGGUAAAGAAGCACCGGCUAACUACGUGCCAGCAGCCGCGGUGAUACGUAGGGUGCGAGCGUUGUCCGGAUUUAUUGGGCGUAAAGGGCUCGUAGGUGGUUGAUCGCGUCGGAAGUGUAAUCUUGGGGCUUAACCCUGAGCGUGCUUUCGAUACGGGUUGACUUGAGGAAGGUAGGGGAGAAUGGAAUUCCUGGUGGAGCGGUGGAAUGCGCAGAUAUCAGGAGGAACACCAGUGGCGAAGGCGGUUCUCUGGGCCUUUCCUGACGCUGAGGAGCGAAAGCGUGGGGAGCGAACAGGCUUAGAUACCCUGGUAGUCCACGCUGUAAACGGUGGGUACUAGGUGUGGGGUCCAUUCCACGGGUUCCGUGCCGUAGCUAACGCUUUAAGUACCCCGCCUGGGGAGUACGGCCGCAAGGCUAAAACUCAAAGGAAUUGACGGGGCCCCGCACAAGCGGCGGAGCAUGCGGAUUAAUUCGAUGCAACGCGUAGAACCUUACCUGGGUUUGACAUGGAUCGGGAGUGCUCAGAGAUGGGUGUGCCUCUUUUGGGGUCGGUUCACAGGUGGUGCAUGGCUGUCGUCAGCUCGUGUCGUGAGAUGUUGGGUUAAGUCCCGCAACGAGCGCAACCCUUGUUCACUGUUGCCAGCACGUUAUGGUGGGGACUCAGUGGAGACCGCCGGGGUCAACUCGGAGGAAGGUGGGGAUGACGUCAAGUCAUCAUGCCCCUUAUGUCCAGGGCUUCACGCAUGCUACAAUGGCUGGUACAGAGAGUGGCGAGCCUGUGAGGGUGAGCGAAUCUCGGAAAGCCGGUCUCAGUUCGGAUUGGGGUCUGCAACUCGACCUCAUGAAGUCGGAGUCGCUAGUAAUCGCAGAUCAGCAACGCUGCGGUGAAUACGUUCCCGGGGCUUGUACACACCGCCCGUCAAGUCAUGAAAGUUGGUAACACCCGAAGCCGGUGGCCUAACCGUUGUGGGGGAGCCGUCGAAGGUGGGACUGGUGAUUAGGACU
rnacentral:rRNA from 1 species